GGCGUCGUGGCCAAGUGGCUAAGGCAAGGCUCUGCAAAAGCCUGAUCCCGGGUUCAAAUCCCGGCGACGCCU
rnacentral:tRNA from 1 species